CCCUGCCGGAGCUUAUAGUUCUCUGUAUUUCAGCACUCUAUACUUCUAAUGGAGUACUAUGCAUUGAUGUUUUUAUUUUAUUAUUCAGCAGUCUGACCAACAUGGUUGGGGCAGGGGGUUGCCCCAUGUGUGAAGAAUUUGAAUUGUGAAAAAUAUGUCUGGAUUAUGUUCUGAAAAUCGAGAUGAGAGAAGGUUAAGUAAAGGCUUGGAUUUGAUAAGCAGACUAAAUGACAUAAUUGAGUUACUUCAGCGUAUGUUCUCUAGAUUUCGUCAUGAUUGACAAUCUCACCUUGGGUUAACCUUAUACUACUAGUUGAUAUUUAAGGAGUUGAUAUUUAAGGCGUGCUGAACUGAAUUGGUUAACUGAUUAAAUGUUUUUGUCAAAAGAAAAAUAUUUUAUGACAGGAAGGAGAACAUACUCUGAUUAAAUCAUAAGAUUAGAAAAUGAAGAGUUAUGGUUCCCUAUUUUCAGCUGGCUAUUCAGCAUCCUGCUUUCUGGCCUCGUCACCUCCAUAGAGCAUAACCUUUGCCUGCUAGAAUUGUCAAUUUGUCACGCAAAGAACAUAAAAUUUUUCAUAAUACACUGGGAAAAUUUUAAUAUUUCACUGUGUUCAAAUUGGAUUAUUGGGUCAUUCUAAUUUGAGUGGUGAACUAGAAAUACCUAGCUUCAUGAAAUACAUUAUUCUUGCUCACCGAUUGCCAAUCCUACAUCAACAUGGAUGUCUUCAUUCGAUUGAUUUGAUGGUUCACAUGCCACAAUUGUCCAAAUUGAAUGUCAUGGGAGCAACGUGGAAGUGAUGUUAUAAUUGUGAGACCAAAAGUGGUUUUGGCAUGCUAUAAAUGUGUCAAUCUGUUUACUAUCUGAACACGAUUGGUAAACCCAAAUCUUCCUAACUUCACAUUUUGUUGUGUCGUCUAAAAAUUUCAUGUCAAGAAUUGCCACCCUUACUACCUGUGCUGUGUCAAUUAUUUAAUGUUCUGUUACUUGCAAUGUUAUCUCUGGUUGGUGUGUGUUUUCAUCGUAUAAUAUGGGUUUCAACCAUGACUCUAAUGUCAAUAUUGUCCAGUUGCAAACUUUUGAAGGUGCUAUCGAAUACUACGUACAAGUUUAUAUUUUUAGAAUAACGCUACCUUUUGAUGUUUAACUAUUAUUGGCAUUUACUCCUUAUUACUCAAAAUAUUCUGAAUUAUAUAACUGGCGCCAUAAGCCUAUGCCAUUUGGCUUGAAUUUGAUCUUAUCUGAGUAUCAAUGGGUUAAAGGAGGGGGUGACCUUUGUACUUUAAUGUGAAACUAAUGACUAGAUGAAAGAAUAGUAUCUUUAUUAUUAUUAUUUUUUAAUAUUAUAAGUUGAAAUUGGUGACCAUUGACCUUCUUGGUUUGAGCUGGUUAGCUAUGAGCAACCUAGGUUGGUUUACCUCUUUGUGGUCCUUUGCCUAGGGUCACAAGGCGGGGUUUACCCAAUCUACACCCUCGGGUAGUGCCUGCGGGUUUCUAUUGUCACUCAAAAAAUGGUGUCUUUCUUUUGUAUUUAAUGUUUGUUAUAUUUUUCACUGCUAUAUGGAGUUGGACUGAGAAUUGUUGAGUAAGUUCAGUUCAAAUAGUGAUAUAAUCUUUGAAGACUGUUUUUUGAUUCACAAAA